CCUACGGGAGGCUGCAGUGGGGAAUAUUGCACAAUGGGGGAAACCCUGAUGCAGCAACGCCGCGUGAAGGAAGACGGUUUUCGGAUUGUAAACUUCUGUUCUUAGUGAAGAAUAAUGACGGUAGCUAAGGAGCAAGCCACGGCUAACUACGUGCCAGCAGCCGCGGUACUACGUAGGUGGCAAGCGUUGUCCGGAAUUACUGGGGGUAAAGGGAGCGCAGGCGGGAAGACAAGUCAGCUGUGAAAACGACGGGCUAACCGUGUAGACUGCAGUUGAAACUGGUUUUCUGGAGUGAAGGAGAGGUUGGCGGAAUUCCGAGUGUAGCGGUGAAAUGCGUAGAUAUUAGGAAGAACACCAGUGGCGAAGGCGGCUUUCUGGACUGAAACUGACGCUGAGGCACGAAAGCGUGGGGAGCGAACAGGAUUAGAUACCCUGGUAGUC
rnacentral:rRNA from 1 species